rnacentral:tRNA from 1 species
GUCAAGUUAGUUUAAGAAAAACAUCAGCCUGUGGAUUUGAAAAUGAAAAAUAGUUUUCACUUGACC